rnacentral:lncRNA from 1 species
CUGAACUGUGGCACCUGGUGUCAGCUUAGGUGACAAACUGGCCAGCAUGAUACAGAGGGAACAACAAUUAGAAUACUGGCAGGAUACUAAAGAGCAUCAGAAAUAUCAUGAGAUACCUACAGAUUGGCUCAUGUGUCCCAUAUUAGGGUUCAACCUGCUGUAUUACAUUGGAGAAUAAUGAAACCUUUACAUGACUAGAAAUGAUUGAUGAACUUGUAGUUUGUGCUGAAAUUAAACUCGCCAGAGAAACCAUGCAGCAUACUAAGAAAUCAACAGAUCCUUGCAUACCGGAUGACAGUCUGAAUAACCAUUAUCUGUCCUUGAGUAAUCUCCAAAGAGGAGAGUGUGACUGACUGAACAGUAGUUACUACUCAAGCAAAGUGUAUUUGCCUCGAGAUAGAGACAGUGAGAUUGCAAUGGAGUUUCCAUAAUGACCUCAACUCUGGGCCUCCAUUAAAUAUGCACUUGUACUUUCAUUGUGUGAGAGUUGUUUUUUUUUCUUUUUCUUUUUUCUUUUUCCUCUUCUGCUUUUCUGUGAAUUAAUUUUAAUCCUCUAAUCAUUUCAGAAAUGUCUCUGUUCAUCCAGCUUUUCUUCUUGAGGCUUGAGUAGUCCUUCCCUUAGGAACAGACAUCUUCUUUGAACAGUUUGUAUUAAACUGAUAAGAUUUGUGAAACAAACAAACAAAAAGGCUCUUACUGAGCAAUUUAUGAGAAAC